UUUGGUUAAGUUAGAAAGGGCGCACGGUGGAUGCCUUGACACUAGGAGUCGAUGAAGGACGGGACUAACGCCGAUAUGCUUCGGGGAGCUGUAAGUAAGCUUUGAUCCGAAGAUUUCCGAAUGGGGAAACCCACCAUACGUAAUGGUAUGGUAUCCUUAUCUGAAUACAUAGGGUAAGGAAGACAGACCCAGGGAACUGAAACAUCUAAGUACCUGGAGGAAGAGAAAGCAAAUGCGAUUUCCUGAGUAGCGGCGAGCGAAACGGAACAUAGCCCAAACCAAGAGGCUUGCCUCUUGGGGUUGUAGGACAUUCUAUACGGAGUUACAAAGGAACGAGGUAGACGAAGCGACCUGGAAAGGUCCGUCGUAGAGGGUAACAACCCCGUAGUCGAAACUUCGUUCUCUCUUGAAUGUAUCCUGAGUACGGCGGAACACGUGAAAUUCCGUCGGAAUCUGGGAGGACCAUCUCCCAAGGCUAAAUACUCCCUAGUGAUCGAUAGUGAACCAGUACCGUGAGGGGAAAGGUGAAAAGCACCCCGGAAGGGGAGUGAAAGAGAUCCUGAAACCGUGUGCCUACAAAUAGUCAGAGCCCGUUAACGGGUGAUGGCGUGCCUUUGUAGAAUGAACCGGCGAGUUACGAUCCCGUGCGAGGUUAAGCUGAAGAGGCGGAGCCGCAGCGAAAGCGAGUCUGAAUAGGGCGUUUAGUACGUGGUCGUAGACCCCGAAACCAGGUGAUCUACCCAUGUCCAGGGUGAAGUUCAGGUAACACUGAAUGGAGGCCCGAACCCACGCACGUUGAAAAGUGCGGGGAUGAGGUGUGGGUAGCGGAGAAAUUCCAAUCGAACCUGGAGAUAGCUGGUUCUCCCCGAAAUAGCUUUAGGGCUAGCCUUAAGUGUAAGAGUCUUGGAGGUAGAGCACUGAUUGGACUAGGGGUCCUCAUCGGAUUACCGAAUUCAGUCAAACUCCGAAUGCCAAUGACUUAUCCUUAGGAGUCAGACUGCGAGUGAUAAGAUCCGUAGUCAAAAGGGAAACAGCCCAGACCGCCAGCUAAGGUCCCAAAGUGUGUAUUAAGUGGAAAAGGAUGUGGAGUUGCUUAGACAACUAGGAUGUUGGCUUAGAAGCAGCCACCAUUUAAAGAGUGCGUAAUAGCUCACUAGUCGAGUGACUCUGCGCCGAAAAUGUACCGGGGCUAAAUACACCACCGAAGCUGCGGAUUGAUACCAAUGGUAUCAGUGGUAGGGGAGCGUUCUAAGGACAGUGAAGUCAGACCGGAAGGACUGGUGGAGUGCUUAGAAGUGAGAAUGCCGGUAUGAGUAGCGAAAGACGGGUGAGAAUCCCGUCCACCGAAUGCCUAAGGUUUCCUGAGGGAAGGCUCGUCCGCUCAGGGUUAGUCAGGACCUAAGCCGAGGCCGACAGGCGUAGGCGAUGGACAACAGGUUGAUAUUCCUGUACCACCUCUUUAUCGUUUGAGCAAUGGAGGGACGCAGAAGGAUAGAAGAAGCGUGCGAUUGGUUGUGCACGUCCAAGCAGUUAGGCUGAUAAGUAGGCAAAUCCGCUUAUCGUGAAGGCUGAGCUGUGAUGGGGAAGCUCCUUAUGGAGCGAAGUCUUUGAUUCCCCGCUGCCAAGAAAAGCUUCUAGCGAGAUAAAAGGUGCCUGUACCGCAAACCGACACAGGUAGGCGAGGAGAGAAUCCUAAGGUGUGCGAGAGAACUCUGGUUAAGGAACUCGGCAAAAUGACCCCGUAACUUCGGGAGAAGGGGUGCUUUCUUAACGGAAAGCCGCAGUGAAUAGGCCCAAGCGACUGUUUAGCAAAAACACAGCUCUCUGCGAAGCCGUAAGGCGAAGUAUAAGGGGUGACACCUGCCCGGUGCUGGAAGGUUAAGGAGAGGGGUUAGCGUAAGCGAAGCUCUGAACUGAAGCCCCAGUAAACGGCGGCCGUAACUAUAACGGUCCUAAGGUAGCGAAAUUCCUUGUCGGGUAAGUUCCGACCCGCACGAAAGGUGUAACGAUUUGGGCACUGUCUCAACCAGAGACUCGGUGAAAUUAUAGUACCUGUGAAGAUGCAGGUUACCCGCGACAGGACGGAAAGACCCCGUGGAGCUUUACUGUAGCCUGAUAUUGAAUUUUGGUACAGUUUGUACAGGAUAGGCGGGAGCCAUUGAAACCGGAGCGCUAGCUUCGGUGGAGGCGCUGGUGGGAUACCGCCCCUGACUGUAUUGAAAUUCUAACCUACGGGUCUUAUCGACCCGGGAGACAGUGUCAGGUGGGCAGUUUGACUGGGGCGGUCGCCUCCUAAAGUGUAACGGAGGCGCCCAAAGGUUCCCCUCAGAAUGGUUGGAAAUCAUUCGUAGAGUGCAAAGGCAUAAGGGAGCUUGACUGCGAGACCUACAAGUCGAGCAGGGACGAAAGUCGGGCUUAGUGAUCCGGUGGUUCCGCAUGGAAGGGCCAUCGCUCAACGGAUAAAAGCUACCCCGGGGAUAACAGGCUUAUCUCCCCCAAGAGUCCACAUCGACGGGGAGGUUUGGCACCUCGAUGUCGGCUCAUCGCAUCCUGGGGCUGUAGUCGGUCCCAAGGGGUUGGGCUGUUCGCCCAUUAAAGCGGUACGCGAGCUGGGUUCAGAACGUCGUGAGACAGUUCGGUCCCUAUCCGUCGUGGGCGUAGGGAAAUUUGAGAGGAGCUGUCCUUAGUACGAGAGGACCGGGAUGGACGCACCGCUGGUGUACCAGUUGUUCUGCCAAGGGCAUAGCUGGGUAGCUAUGUGCGGAAGGGAUAAGUGCUGAAAGCAUCUAAGCAUGAAGCCCCCCUCAAGAUGAGAUUUCCCAUAGCGUAAGCUAGUAAGAUCCCUGAAAGAUGAUCAGGUUGAUAGGUUCGAGGUGGAAGCAUGGUGACAUGUGGAGCUGACGAAUACUAAUAGAUCGAGGACUUAACCAUAUAA
rnacentral:rRNA from 1 species